GAUCAUGGCCAAGUGCUGCUGGACGUUGUUUUUAAGCACCUGGAGCUGACCGAGAGAGACUACUUUGGCCUGCACUUGGCUGAUGACACCUCAGAUUCACCGCGCUGGCUGGAUCCCAAUAAGCCCAUCAGGAAACAGUUGAAAAGAGGGUCUCCACAUACUUUGAGCUUCAGAGUCAAAUUUUUUGUGACCGACCCAAAUAAACUUCAGGAAGAGUACACGCGGUACCAAUAUUUUCUCCAGAUCAAACAAGAUAUAUUGACUGGAAGAUUGCCCUGUCCUCACAACACUGCUGCACUGCUGGCGUCCUAUGCAGUUCAGUGUAAGU